rnacentral:rRNA from 1 species
UACGAAGGGGGCUAGCGUUGUUCGGAAUUACUGGGCGUAAAGCGCACGUAGGCGGAUAUUUAAGUCAGGGGUGAAAUCCCAGAGCUCAACUCUGGAACUGCCUUUGAUACUGGGUAUCUGGAGUAUGGAAGAGGUGAGUGGAAUUCCGAGUGUAGAGGUGAAAUUCGUAGAUAUUCGGAGGAACACCAGUGGCGAAGGCGGCUCACUGGUCCGGUACUGACGCUGAGGUGCGAAAGGCGUGGGGGAGCAAACAGG